UCUUUAUUUUAAAAAUUUGUUACUUAAGUAGUAUGAAUGUAAAUAAUGUAAAGUACGUUUAUGUUUGAAAUUUAAAAGGCUUGGCGGUGUUAUAUAUCCUUCCAGGGGAGCUUGCUUAAUAAUUUGAUAAUCCUCAAUUUAUACUUACUUUUUUUUGAAUAAUAUCAGUUUGUAUAUUGCUGUCGUCAGUUUAUUUUGUAAAAAUUUUGGAAAAAACUUAAUAAUGUGAGGUUAUAAUGUCAAGUCAAAAUGCAGCUAAUAGAAAAGAUAUUGAAAGUGAGCUACGAUUUAUAAUUUUUUAUCUGAUUAAAUUAUGUAACUAAUUUAUGAGGUUGGACUUGGUAGUAAUAAACAUAUAUAUAUAAAUAGUGAGUUUUUGUGAAUUAGGUUUUAUAAUGCGU
rnacentral:rRNA from 1 species